GCGACGACGUCGUUUCGCUCUUAACGAGCCAAAGUUCGAUGAAAUACGAGCACAUUGAAUGUUGCAACCAACGAGUCACAUAAAAGGGCGCAGAUCAUUGUGGCGGUUUUCAAAUGGACCACCCGAAUUUUUUGGGGUUAUGCCAAUCGUUUUUGUUAUCGAAUCAAAUAACUAAGCCAAGCGAGGAGCAACAGGUUAAUCCAUUAAGUACACAGAAAAC
ensembl:ncRNA T02E9.12 ncRNA